AUAAUUACUAACGUGCUGUUUCGUAAAC
rnacentral:sRNA from 1 species